UAGACAGUUAUGUCUUAAGGGUCA
rnacentral:siRNA from 1 species